AUUUGAUAUUGUAGGCAUCUAGUACACAAUUUAUUGAACCUCUCCCAAUAGUCAUAUAGGAAUUCUCCAGGGUACUGCUUAAUGUUGCAAAUCUCCUUUCUCAGGCU